rnacentral:rRNA from 1 species
AAUUAAUUUUUUUUUAAAAAAAAAUAAAUAUUAAAAAUAAUUAUAAAAUUUUAAAGUUUUAGUAUUUUAUAAAGAAAAAAUAAUUUUAAUAAUAGUUUAUUAGUAUUGUAAAAUAAAAUUGAAAUAUAAUGAAAAAUUUUUAUUUAUAAAGAAAAUUUAAUUUAUUGUAUCUUGUGUAUCAGAGUAUAUUAAAUAAAAAAUAUAUAUAAAUAUUUUUCUCGAUUUUAAAAGAUUUAAUAAAUUAUAAAUGUUAAUGUGAUAAAAUUAUAUUUAAUAAUUUAUUAGAAAUGAAAUGUUAUUCGUUUUUAAAGGUAUCUAGUUUUUUAAGAAAUAAAUUUAAUUUAAUAUUCAAAAUUUAAUUAUUUAUUUAUUUAAUAAAUUAAUUUUUGAAAAUUAAUAUUUUAUGGGAUAAGCUAUAAAAUAAAUUUUUAUAAAUAAUAAAUAAUAUAUAAAAUUUUAUAUGUUUAAAAGUAUCAAUUUUUAUUAAGUUUGUUAUAAAUUAAUUUUUUUUUAAUAAAUUAUUUAUUAUAUUUUAAAUUUUUAUUAAAAUAUUUAUUAAAAUAUUAAAAAUAAAGAAAUAAUGAUAUAAUUAGUAUAUUUUUUUGUAAUAAUAUAUUUAAAAAUGAAAAGUUUAUGUAAAGAAUUCGGCAAAAAUAAUGUUCGCCUGUUUAACAAAAACAUGUCUUUUAGAAUUUAAUUUAAAGUCUGACCUGCCCACUGAAUUUAUUUUUAAAUGGCCGCAGUAUAUUAACUGUGCAAAGGUAGCAUAAUCAUUAGUCUUUUAAUUGAAGGCUGGAAUGAAUGGUUGGACGAAAUAUUAACUGUUUCAUUUAAAUUUAUAAUAGAAUUUUAUUUUUUAGUCAAAAAGCUAAAAUAAAUUUAAAAGACGAGAAGACCCUAUGAAUCUUUAUAUUUAAUAUAUUUUAAUUUUGUAGAUUAUUUUAAUUAUAAUAUUAUUUUUAUAUUUUAUUGGGGUGAUAUUAAAAUUUAAAUAACUUUUAAACUUUAAAUCAUUGAUUUAUGAAUAAAUGAUCCAUUUUUAAUGAUUAAAAAUUUAAGUUACUCUAGGGAUAACAGCGUAAUUUUUUUGGAGAGUUCAUAUCGAUAAAAAAGAUUGCGACCUCGAUGUUGGAUUAAGAAAUAGUUUUAGGUGUAGCCGUUUAAAUUUAAAGUCUGUUCGACUUUUAAAAUCUUACAUGAUCUGAGUUCAAACCGGCGUGAGCCAGGUUGGUUUCUAUCUUUAAAAAAUUAAUAUAUUUUAGUACGAAAGGAUUGAAUAUAUAAAUAAUUAUAUUUUAUAUAUAAGAAUAUAAAUAAUUGUUUAUUAA